rnacentral:lncRNA from 1 species
UACCAGGGAUUGAACUCGGGACCUUGCGCUUUCAAGGGGGCUGGUGGAACCACUGAGCUAAAUCCUGGCCCUUACUCAUAGCCCCUUAUCAUCUAAGAGUUGCCCUAAGGGUCUUAAACCUCUGUAUGUCUGAGUUGAUCAAGGAUGGAGAGACAACAGGGCACACCUUGAACAAGACACACAGACAAGGUGUGGGGGAACUGUCCUUAGCAGCAGUUCUGAAAUUAGGAAGGCUGAAGAAACCCAAAGCAAGACAUUACGGGUCAGAAAGAAAGAAAGAAAGAAAGAAAGGAAAGAAAGAAAGAAAGAAAGAAGAAGAGUAGCUAUCUCUAAAUGUAGAGUUGGUAAAAUGCUUAGUAACAUCAAAAAGAAGACAUUCUUCAUCUUUAAAUUGAGGGCAAUGAUAGUCUUGCAAUGAACAUUAGCGAGAUUGUGAAGUGUCAGUCACACGGCCUGGUCUAAGUGAAUGAUAAUUUAUAUGCAUUAUGAUACUGUUAUCGAUUAUUUUAUUAAAGUAUAUUUCUUCACUGUCUUCUGCUUUUACCAAUUUCUCUUAUUUGCUGCCUCUUUCUGAUCCUGUGGCUUUCAACACCAGCCCCCAAAUUUGAGCUGACUAAAGGAUGGUGAUAGUG